rnacentral:rRNA from 1 species
AGUGAACGCUGGCGGUAGGCCUAACACAUGCAAGUCGAACGGCAGCACAGUAAGAGCUUGCUCUUACGGGUGGCGAGUGGCGGACGGGUGAGGAAUACAUCGGAAUCUACUUUUUCGUGGGGGAUAACGUAGGGAAACUUACGCUAAUACCGCAUACGACCUACGGGUGAAAGCAGGGGAUCUUCGGACCUUGCGCGAUUGAAUGAGCCGAUGUCGGAUUAGCUAGGUGGCGGGGUAAAGGCCCACCAAGGCGACGAUCCGUAUCUGGUCUGAGAGGAUGAUCAGCCACACUGGAACUGAGACACGGCCCAGACUCCUACGGGAGGCAGCAGUGGGGAAUAUUGGACAAUGGGCGCAAGCCUGAUCCAGCCAUACCGCGUGAGUGAAGAAGGCCUUCGGGUUGUAAAGCCCUUUUGUUGGGAAAGAAAAGCAGCAGGUUAAUACCCCGCUGUUCUGACGGUACCCAAAGAAUAAGCACCGGCUAACUUCGUG